UUUCCGUAGGUGAACCUGCGGAAGGAUCAUUACCGAGUGAGGGUCUCUCAGUCCCGACCUCUCACCCUGGGUUUUUGUGACAUUGUUGCUUUGGCCGUCCCGCCUCGAUGAGAGGCCGCCGGAAGCUUACCGCUUUGGGCCCGUGCCCGUCUUUAGCCACCUUUAAUUCUUAAUAAACCUGUCUUCUGAGUUCAUAGAAAUAAUUUAAAAAAACUUUCAACAACCGAUCUCUUGGUUCUAGCAUCCAUGAAGAACGCAGCACAUCGGAAGGACACACAU
rnacentral:misc_RNA from 1 species